UCGCAGCCUUCACCUGAUGCUCGGAAUGGUGAUGAACAAGAUGAUUCUCUUUUAUCUAUAUAUGAUCCUAGGACAUGGGAUAAUCUUGAUAAUCGGAAAAGGGACAUUUUAAUUGAAAAGGGGCCGGUGAGAGAAUUGGGCUUGGAGUUCCCUGCCCGCCCUGAUGAUGUCGAAGGUAGACGUUUUUCAUAUGCUUACUAUUCCAGAAAAUUAGCUAAU
rnacentral:rRNA from 1 species